GGGUCAACUUAAUGAGAUUUUUUUUUUGUAGAUUUGACUGGAUUUGGCAAGAUGCCCUUGCUCAUUAAAGAAGAUGGAGAUGUGGCUUUCCUCAGACUGUCUCUGACAUGCCAGCUUUUUCACCAUGUUGUUAGUGAAGCAUCUUUCAGAGAAAAGGCUCAUGUUGUCUGGCUUGACAGUGUUGUCAACUGGAACACAUUCUCCAUGGUGUAGAGAUUUAUUUACAGACUGUCCACCUGGUCGAGUUGGAGGAAGGGUGUCCCAGGGAGGAAUUGUUCAUCUAUUCUGCAUCAGUAAAGCAGUGGUGGCGUGGCACUGACCUUAAACUAUUUAAGAUCAAACUGUGACAAAAGCUUUACCUGACCUGACUGCAGUCAGUUAUAUGUGACCUUGCCUGUGAAAAAACAGGAUAAGUCUUGAAAUGUAAUUAUGAUAUAUUGAGCAUCAAAGUGUUAUUUUCAUUAAUCUCACAUUGAUUUUGAUAUUUGACAUGAUUUUACUCAGUCAACCCCACACACCCAGACAACACUUUCUUUGAACUUUUGCCCUUUGGCGCUACAGAGCACUGAAUACUAGACACAACAACCGUUUGUUCCUCAGGCUAAAACCUAAACAAUAAAAGCACCCAUAACUUCCACACCUGUAACUGUAUAUUGUUUAUAAUCACCACAUACUGUACAUCUGUAAAUACUAUUCUAAACUGUAAAUAUCACCUAUUAUCUAUCUGUACAAUAACAGCAUCUGAACAUCCAUACAUGCAUCACUACACACAAUUGUAAAAAAGGAGAAAAUUUAUACAUAUACUUACUGUACCAUACUGCUUAUUUAAAUUAUUUUUGUUUUUAUGUGACUAGUGUGUUAUUGUCUUUAAUUUUACUUAGUUAUUCUAUGUAUGUCCGUAACAUGUCACCAAGAGAAAUUCCUUGUAUGUGACAAAAACAUACUUGGCAAUAAAGCAGAUUCUGAUUCAA